rnacentral:rRNA from 1 species
GCAGCAGUGGGGAAUAUUGCACAAUGGGCGCAAGCCUGAUGCAGCGACGCCGCGUGAGUGAAGAAGUAUCUCGGUAUGUAAAGCUCUAUCAGCAGGGAAGAAAAUGACGGUACCUGACUAAGAAGCCCCGGCUAACUACGUGCCAGCAGCCGCGGUAAUACGUAGGGGGCAAGCGUUAUCCGGAUUUACUGGGUGUAAAGGGAGCGUAGACGGCGACGCAAGUCUGGAGUGAAAGCCCGGGGCCCAACCCCGGGACUGCUUUGGAAACUGUGCUGCUGGAGUGCAGGAGAGGUAAGUGGAAUUCCUAGUGUAGCGGUGAAAUGCGUAGAUAUUAGGAGGAACACCAGUGGCGAAGGCGGCUUACUGGACUGUAACUGACGUUGAGGCUCGAAAGCGUGGGGAGCAAACAGGAUUAGAUACCCUGGUAGUCCACGCCGUAAACG